CGUAACUCCUACGGGAGGCAGCAGUGGGGAAUUUUGGACAAUGGGCGAAAGCCUGAUCCAGCAAUGCCGCGUGAGUGAAGAAGGCCUUCGGGUUGUAAAGCUCUUUUGUCAGGGAAGAAACGGUGAAAGCUAAUAUCUUUUGCUAAUGACGGUACCUGAAGAAUAAGCACCGGCUAACUACGUGCCAGCAGCCGCGGUAAUACGUAGGGUGCAAGCGUUAAUCGGAAUUACUGGGCGUAAAGCGUGCGCAGGCGGUUUUGUAAGUCUGAUGUGAAAUCCCCGGGCUCAACCUGGGAAUGGCAUUGGAGACGGCAAGGCUAGAAUCUGGCAGAGGGGGGUAGAAUUCCACGUGUAGCAGUGAAAUGCGUAGAUAUGUGGAGGAACACCGAUGGCGAAGGCAGCCCCCUGGGUCAAGAUUGACGCUCAUGCACGAAAGCGUGGGGAGCAAACAGGAUUAGAAACCCCAGUAGUCCCAUGA
rnacentral:rRNA from 1 species